GCGGUAUUAGCUCAGCUGGAAGAGCGCAGGUCUCAUAUUGUACGCGAUCCUGAGGUCAUGAGUUCGAGUCUCAUAUACCGCA
rnacentral:tRNA from 1 species